UACGUAGGGUGCGAGCGUUGUCCGGAAUUACUGGGCGUAAAGAGCUCGUAGGUGGUUUGUCGCGUUGUUCGUGAAAACUCACAGCUUAACUGUGGGCGUGCGGGCGAUACGGGCAGACUGGAGUACUGCAGGGGAGACUGGAAUUCCUGGUGUAGCGGUGGAAGUGCGCAGAUAUCAGGAGGAACACCGGUGGCGGAAGGCGGGUCUCUGGGGCCGAAUACUGACGUGGAGGAGCGAAAGCGUGGGGAGCGAACAGG
rnacentral:rRNA from 1 species